CAGUCGCCGCGGGAAAACGGAGGGUGCAAGCGUUAAUCGGAAUUACUGGGCGUAAAGCGCACGCAGGCGGUCUGUUAAGUCAGAUGUGAAAUCCCCGAGCUUAACUUGGGAACUGCAUUUGAAACUGGCAAGCUAGAGUGUGUCAGAGGAUGGUGGAAUUCCCGGUGUAGCGGUGAAAUGCGUAGAGAUCGGGAGGAACAUCAGUGGCGAAGGCGGCCAUCUGGGACAACACUGACGCUGAGGCACGAAAGCGUGGGGAGCAACCAGGAUUAGAGACCCCCGUAGUCCCUGUCUCUUAUAC
rnacentral:rRNA from 1 species